AGAAACUCUUACUGGCAUUAAAUCUGAAACUAAAGAACUGCUGUUCUAUUUAAAGGGACUUACUGGUGGCCUACAUAAGCAGCCAUUAGCAGUUUUUAAUUUACAAAUUUAAGAAAAAGUAAGGAAGUUGCUUCAUUUAGUAGAUAAACACAGCCAAACAUUAGUGGUCUGAAUCAGUAAUCAAAUUAUAACAUGUUCAUCACAUCUUUUGCACAAAAUCAUUCUUGGAUAAUAAGAUUUUAGUCUGCCUAUUUUGAGCUCCUUUCAAAAUGAGUUGUUUUAAGGUCUCUUGUCACUUUAAAUCAAAAUAAAUAAGCUGCUGCUGGACACAGCCCCCAACUCUCACUUUAUUCACACUGCAAACAGAUGUGCAAUUAUACAAAUAUACAUCUUCGAGAAGUAUAAGUAGAGCCUUCCACACAACCAACAAGAAAGCAGCAAGUGGUUUCUGAAUACUUGGGCUACGUUCACACUGCCGCCCAAAGUGACUCAGUUCCAAUUUUUUUUGUCAAAUCAGUUUUGUUUUUUUGCCGUGGCCAUUCACACUUCCAAAUAAGUGCGACCUGUAUAUGUUCUCCAGUGUGAACUGCAAACAACCUGAAAGUGUCCUGCAUGCGCAGUAGAGGGCCCAAUAACGUCACAUAUAGAGUGUGCGCUCAGUGUUUUACCAACCCCUAUAAAAAGAAGUAGUAGUGCUCAGUGUUUGCGGAAGUAAACAUGGAUGCUAACGGAGCAUAGCUUACACAUUUGAAGUUGUUGUCCGACCAGAGCCAGCAUAUUAACAACAUAAUCCUUAUAGUAGUCCCGCAUGGAUGUUGUUUUUCUUCCUGCUUGCAUGUAACAGGACGUAGAAUAGUGACGUUGAGUAUCAAUAUCGUUCAGGUCGGAUGAAUGCGACCUGCAGAUUGAAUUGGAUACACAUCGGAUAUUCAAGUGGCCUGGGUCGCAUUCGGAAAAAAUCCGAACUGUGUUGUUCAGACUGCGAUAAAAAGAUCAGACACAGGUCGCAUUACGUCAAAUAAAAAGAUCAGACACGGGUCGCAUUACGUCAAAUAAAAAGAUCAGACACAGGUCGCAUUACGUCAAAUAAAAAGAUCAGACACAGGUCGCAUUACGUCAAAUAAAAAGAUCAGACACGAGUCGCAUUACGUCAAAUAAAAAGAUCAGACACGGGUCGCAUUACGUCAAAUAAAAAGAUCAGGCACGGGUCGCAUUACGUCAAAUAAAAAGAUCAGACACGGGUCGCAUUACGUC